GAUGAACGCUAGCGGGAGGCCUAAUACAUGCAAGUCGAACGGUAACAGGUAGCAAUACGCUGACGAGUGGCGCACGGGUGAGUAACACGUACACAACCUGCCGAAGACUGGGGCAAAGCCUUGGGAAACUGAGAUUAAUUCACCAUAAUGUUACGACGUGGCAUACCUUUGUAUCUAAAACUACGGUGGUAUUCGAUGGGUGUGGGUUUGAUUAACUAGUUGGUGAGGUAACGGCUCACCAAGGCGACGAUCAAUAACUGGUCUGAGAGGAUGAACAGUAACACGGGCACUGAGACACGGGCCCGACGCCUACGGGAGGCAGCAGUAGGGAAUAUUGGACAAUGGGCGCAAGCCUGAUCCAGCCAUCCCGCGUGAAGGAUUAAGGCCCUAUGGGUUGUAAACUUCUUUUCUCUGGGAAUAAAAACCGGGAUUUAUCCUGGCUUGAAGGUACCAGAGGAAUAAGCACCGGCUAACUCCGUGCCAGCCGCCGCGGUAACAC
rnacentral:rRNA from 1 species